rnacentral:rRNA from 1 species
GUUUCAGCAGCCGCGGUAAGACAGAGGUGCCGAGCGUUAGGCGGAAUCACUGGGCUUAAAGCGUGUGUAGGCGGAUGGGUAAGUACCUUGUGAAAUCCCACGGCUCAACCGUGGAACUGCUCGGUAUACUGCUCGUCUUGAGCCAACUAGGGGCGACCGGAACAAACGGUGGAGCGGUGAAAUGCGUAGAUAUCGUUUGGAACGCCGAUGGUGAAAACAGGUCGCUGGGGUUGUGCUGACGCUGAGACACGAAAGCCAGGGGAGCGAACGGGAUUAGAUACCCGCGUAGUCC